rnacentral:rRNA from 1 species
CUGUUAAGUUUUUUUGAAUAUAAAAUAUUAUUAGUAUUAAAAAUAUUUUUUUAAAUAAAAUAUUAUUUAUUUUAGUAUAAUAAAUAAAUAAUUUAGAAUAAUUAAAGUUUAUUGUAUAUAAGUAGAUUUAUUUAAAAUAAUUUAAAGGUGAUUUAAAAUUUGUACCUUUUGUAUCAGGGUUUAAUAAAAAUUUUUUAUAUAAUCAAUUCUCGAAUAAUUAAGAUUUAAUUUUUUAUAAUUAUAAAUGUGGCAAAAUUUAAUUAAAUAAGAAGUUGGUAAUGAAAAGUUAAUCGUUUAAUUAGGAUUCUAGUUUUUAAGUAAAUUAAUUUAAUUAAUUUUUUAAUAAUUUUUUAAUUUUUGUUUAAUAAAAUAUAUUAAAAAAUAAAUUAUAAAGAGUUUAUUUUUUAUAAGUUUUAUAUUUAAUUAUAAAGUGAUUUUUUUCUAAAUUUAAUAUUGAUAAAUGAAAUAUAGUUUUUUACAAAAAAAAAAUUGUUUUAUUAAAUUUAUUUUUAAUUAAUUAUUUACUUAAAGAUUAUUUUUAAUAAAUUAAAAUAUGGUAUAAUAUUAAAAUUAGUAAAUUUUAAAAUUUAUAUAUAGGAAUUCGGCAAAAAAUUUUUUGCCUGUUUAUCAAAAACAUGUCUUUUUGUUUUUAUUUAAAGUCCAAUCUGCUCACUGAAAUUUAAAGAGCCGCAGUAUUUUAACUGUGCAAAGGUAGCAUAAUAAAUAGUUUUUUAAUUGAAAGCUGGAAUGAAAGAUUAGACAAAAAAAUAGCUUUCUUUUUUAAAUAAUAUUGAAUUUAAAAUUUAAGUAAAAAUACUUAAAUAAAAUUAAAAGACGAGAAGACCCUAUAGAUUUUUAUUUAUUUAAAAAUACAAUAAAAAUUUUAUUUUGAAUAAAUUUAAUUGGGGCGAUUUUGUAAUAAAUUUAACUUAAUAUAAUAAAACCAUUAAUAAUUGAAUAUUUUGAUCUAAAUUUUUUAAAUAAUAGAUUAAAUUACCUUAGGGAUAACAGCGUAAUUUUAUUUAAGAGUUCAUAUCUAUAAUAAAGGUUGCGACCUCGAUGUUGAAUUAAGAAAUAUAUAGGAGCAGAAAUUUAUAAUUAUUAGUCUGUUCGACUAUUAAAUUCUUACAUGAUUUGAGUUCAGACCGGCGUGAGCCAGGUCAGUUUCUAUCUUUAAUUUUAUUUUAUAAAUAAGUACGAAAGGACAAUUUAUAAAUAAAAUUUAUUAAAUAUUG